rnacentral:rRNA from 1 species
AACAAGGUCUCCGUUGGUGAACCAGCGGAGGGAUCAUUACUGAGUUACCGCUCUAUAACCCUUUGUGAACAUACCUACAACUGUUGCUUCGGCGGGUAGGCCGUCCCCUGAAAAGGACGCCUCCCGGCCCGGACCGGACCCCCCGCGGGACCGGACCCGGCGCCCGCCGGAGGAUAACCAAACUCUAUUGUAACGACGUUUCUUCUGAGUGGCAUAAGCAAAAUAAUCAAAACUUUUAACAACGGAUCUCUUGGUUCUGGCAUCGAUGAAGAACGCAGCGAAAUGCGAUAAGUAAUGUGAAUUGCAGAAUUCAGUGAAUCAUCGAAUCUUUGAACGCACAUUGCGCCCGCCAGCAUUCUGGCGGGCAUGCCUGUUCGAGCGUCAUUUCAACCCUCAAGCUCUGCUUGGUGUUGGGGCUCUACGGUCGACGUAGGCCCUCAAAGGUAGUGGCGGACCCUCCCGGAGCCUCCUUUGCGUAGUAACAUUUCGUCUCGCACUGGGAUCCGGAGGGACUCUUGCCGUAAAACCCCCCAAUUUUCCAAAGGUUGACCUCGGAUCAGGUAGGAAUACCCGCUGAACUUAAGCAUA